rnacentral:rRNA from 1 species
AGUGAACGCUGGCGGUAGGCCUAACACAUGCAAGUCGAACGGCAGCACAGUAAGAGCUUGCUCUUACGGGUGGCGAGUGGCGGACGGGUGAGGAAUACAUCGGAAUCUACUUUUUCGUGGGGGAUAACGUAGGGAAACUUACGCUAAUACCGCAUACUACCUACGGGUGAAAGCAGGGGAUCUUCGGACCUUGCGCGAUUGAAUGACCCGAUGUCGGAUUAGCUAGUUGGCGGGGUAAAGGCCCACCAAGGCGACGAUCCGUAGCUGGUCUGAGAGGAUGAUCAGCCACACUGGAACUGAGACACGGUCCAGACUCCUACGGGAGGCAGCAGUGGGGAAUAUUGGACAAUGGGCGCAAGCCUGAUCCAGCCAUACCGCGUGGGUGAAGAAGGCCUUCGGGUUGUAAAGCCCUUUUGUUGGGAAAGAAAAGCAGCAGGUUAAUACCCCGCUGUUCUGACGGUACCCAAAGAAUAAGCACCGGCUAACUUCGUG